rnacentral:rRNA from 1 species
UGGGGAAUAUUGGACAAUGGGCGAAAGCCUGAUCCAGCCAUGCCGCGUGUGUGAAGAAGGUCUUCGGAUUGUAAAGCACUUUAAGUUGGGAGGAAGGGUUGUAGAUUAAUACUCUGCAAUUUUGACGUUACCGACAGAAUAAGCACCGGCUAACUCUGUGCCAGCAGCCGCGGUAAUACAGAGGGUGCAAGCGUUAAUCGGAAUUACUGGGCGUAAAGCGCGCGUAGGUGGUUAGUUAAGUUGGAUGUGAAAUCCCCGGGCUCAACCUGGGAACUGCAUUCAAAACUGGCAAGCUAGAGUACGGUAGAGGGUGGUGGAAUUUCCUGUGUAGCGGUGAAAUGCGUAGAUAUAGGAAGGAACACCAGUGGCGAAGGCGACCACCUGGACUGAUACUGACACUGAGGUGCGAAAGCGUGGGGAGCAAACAGGAUUAGAUACCCAUGUAGUCCCUGAGCGGGCUGGCAAGGCGCAU